AUGUAAUCUCUAUAUAUCACAAACACAAUAUUGUUAUUUAAUCUAUGAUCUUAUUAUCUCAGAAAAUUAAUCUAAUAAUUAAAUGACCUAUAAAUAAAGAACUAAAACAAAAAAUCUAUCAUUGAUGAAAAAUACACAAAAUAAGAGAGAAAGUUAAAACAAAUGUUUUUUAUUAUUUCAAUUUUUUUUUUGCCAAAAACAACAAGAUACAUGUACUAAAAAAUUACCAAAAAGCAAAAAUAUGGCUUCACCAUCCAACUUCCCAUUUUCUUGACAAUACAUCUUCACCGCUCGCUGAAUUCCAAAGAUAAAGGCCAUCAGUUUUUGCAGUCCAAAUGCAAUUCUUCCAACCGCAUCUAUGGAACAAGAUA
rnacentral:sRNA from 1 species